GUGCUCACUUCAGCAGCACAUAUACUAAAAUUGGAACGAUACAGAGAAGAUUAGCAAUUCUAUUUAAAAUAAAUAAAAAAUUUUA
rnacentral:snRNA from 1 species